rfam:Penicillium flavigenum strain IBT 14082 PENFLA_contig058, whole genome shotgun sequence.
AAACAGACUCUAUCAUGAUGAGAUUCGCAUUAGAACCGGAAUUUUUAAUAGGAAGAGCCGGAAGAGGUAUGGCAGAGGCUGAAAGCCCUGUCGUCGAUGCUUAUAAUGGUUCUCCUGAGUAGAGUCUUUGG